AACGAACGCUGGCGGCAUGCCUAACACAUGCAAGUCGAACGAGACCUUCGGGUCUAGUGGCGCACGGGUGCGUAACGCGUGGGAAUCUGCCCUUGGGUCCGGAAUAACUCAGAGAAAUUUGAGCUAAUACCGGAUGAUGACGUAAGUCCAAAGAUUUAUCGCCCAGGGAUGAGCCCGCGUAGGAUUAGCUAGUUGGUGAGGUAAAGGCUCACCAAGGCGACGAUCCUUAGCGGUCUGAGAGGAUGAUCAGCCACACUGGGACUGAGACACGGCCCCAGACUCCUACGGGAGGCAGCAGUGGGGAAUAUUGGACAAUGGGCGAAAGCCUGAUCCAGCAAUGCCGCGUGAGUGAUGAAGGCCUUAGGGUUGUAAAGCUCUUUUACCCGGGAUGAUAAUGACAGUACCGGGAGAAUAAGCCCCGGCUAACUCCGUGCCAGCAGCCGCCGU
rnacentral:rRNA from 1 species